rnacentral:lncRNA from 1 species
UGUGAUGCAAAUUCUAGCAAUCCAGUAGUCCUGAGACCAUCAUGCUGUUAGGAAGCCCAGGUCAGCCUAUGAGACAGACCGUGUGGGAAGCCUCAAGUCUACAGAGGGAGAUGAUCUGACAGCUCCCAGAUGAACUAGCUCCCAUUGACUGUAAGACAGAGGAGAGACACUGAGCCAGAACAACUCAGUCAAAGACCUCCCCCAAAUUCCUGAUUUUCAGAAACCAACAACUGAUAAAAUGUUGUUUGUUUUGUUUUGUUUGUUUCAUUUUGUUUCACAUUACCAAGUUUGGGGUUGAAUUGCUACACAGAAAUGCAUACACCAUUAAUGACUGGUAGAGGGGGAGUCCAAACCUAGUGGGUAUGACAGGGCAAGCCAGUGCAUAGGUUUCUCCAUCUUGUUUUUUUGCUGAGAUCAUUUCCAGUUUAACUAAAAUUUGAUCUUCCUGUUGGACAAUCCUGUGGAAAAUUACCCAACUCUAUUCCAGGAACCCAAGGUUAAGAUGCCUGGAUAUCUCGGCUUCUGUUAAACUGCUUGCUUGUAUAAAACCAAGAUGCCGGGAUGUGAGUUUUGGCAAAACAAACAAAAAACAAAACAAACAAAAAGCCUUUAUCACCAACACUUGGUGCUACUCUCUGGUCUUGAAUACCUGAGUGUAGUCCCAGAUAUCUGAAGUAAAGACUUUCAAUUGGCUAUAAACUGUGUCUGAGUGGUCAUUUCUGGUUGGCUUCAACUAAAUGUUUUGGAAGCCUCAGUAAGAUUCCACAGAGACUGGACCCAGACAUUUAUGGGUCUGGACUCCCAGAAGCAGGGAAGAGUAUGCCACCUGAAAAAGACUUCUAGGGAGUGCACAACUUGAGACAUUCCAAAGCCCUGGGAAAACCCAUUCUGAGUCACAGUUUGCUAGUUGCCAAGUGUUCCAGAGGCACCCGACACAAGUCAGCUGGUCUGCACAUCUCUAAAGGUAAGUUUGCUGUGUAGGAGGUACUAUUUGGCUAGGGGAGGUCAGAUGUGACUGUAGAUCCCAUGUCCAGGAUCCCUGUGAGCUGUCACUGGACUUCCCUGGUCUGUUCAUGUGUAUGUAUGGUGGCCAUCCCUGGUUGUUUCCAUGAUGUGUCUCUCUGUGUGAUAGUGUCUCCCUGUGUCUCUCUUUGUGUGUUUCUAUCAGUUUGUUUGGUUGGAGAAACAAAUCUAAUAUGGAAGGAGGAGUAAGCCGCACCCACCACGGCACCCACCACUGUCCCUGAGAUAGCAGUGUGUUAUUUCCUAUAGGCUCUGCUGGUCCCUCUGCACUGUGACACCUGUAAAGGGUAAGAGGUCCUUGUGCACACAGACAAGUGGCAGGGAAAGCAGGAAAAACUGAACAUGCCUCUUCACAGGAAGUAGCUCUUUACCCCCGGGAAUGCUGGGAAUAGAUGUAGGGUAUGACCUGAUAAUCUUUUACUACCUGUAGGGCCAGGCUUCAUCUGAAUCCCCUAGACUGUUAUAUUUGUUUAGCCUAGAUUCCCCCCCACCCCCAUUAGAUCUUUUUGUUUGUUUGUUUAUUUUGUUUUUUGAGACAGGGUUUCUCUGUAUAGCUGUGGCUGUCCUGGAACUCACUCUGUAGACCAGGCUGGCCUCGAACUCAGAAAUCCGCCUGCCUCUGCCUCCCGAGUGCUGGGAUUAAAGGCGUGUGCCACCACUGCCCGGUGUAUAUUUCUUUUAUUACAAGGUUAUCUUCCAGUAUCUUUUUUUAAAAAAAAAAAACGCUAUACAUAACAUGAGGCUUACAACAUUAGCCAUUUGGAAUUGUGCAGGUCAGUUAUGUCUUAAGUACAUCUACACUGUCGUUCAUCCAUCACUAUCUCUUUCCAGAACUUUCUUCAUUGGAAAACCAAAAUUGUGUAUCUAUUAACACGACUUAGGCUUAGGAUGUAGCUCAGUAGUAGAGUCAGUCUGUGAGGCCUUGGAUUCAGUCCCCAGCAUAAAUCAACAGGUAGAUGAACCUUUCCUCAUUUUUCUUCUCUUCAGUCCCUGACAAUGACUAUUCUCCUCUGGUCUAUGCAUUUGGUUACUCUAGGUUCUUCACAUACACAGAAUCAUAUCGUGUUGAUACAGGGGAAAUUGGGGACCCCACUUGGGGGUUCUUAGUCUCAUUAAUAAAAGAAUUUAAGAAUGGAUUCAGCCAGGCGGUGGUCGCGCACGCCUUUAAUCCCAGCACUUGGGAGGCUAAGGCAGGCAGAUUUCUGAGUUCGAGGCCAGCUUGGUCUACAGAGUGAGUUCCAGGACAGCCAGGGCUAUACAGAGAAACCCUGUCUCGACAAAAACAAAAACAAAAACAAAAACAAAAAAACCCAAAAAGCAAAGAGAGAGAGAGAGAGAGAGAAGAGGUAGAAUUUCCCAAAUAAUUCAGAAGGGUUACAAGCUAUAAGCCUGAGAUGCUGCAGCCCUGUGGCCAGCAAGCUACUGCCCUAGGGGUGGGGACUCUGGAGAGAAAAGCACAGCAUCUUAUUAAAGGACUAAUUAUUCGACCUCUCUCUCUAGCGUGGUUUAAGGUGAGGCUGCUUUCCUAGGGAUGCUCCUUUGGCCCAGUGAAGGAUCUGGCCCAGUUGGAAGGUUGGAUUAUUACGCAGUCUAUAGAUUCUAUUCCCUUUACAAAGAUUUUUUUUUUUUUUUUUUUUUUUUACUGUAACAUUAUCUGUCCCCUUCUGUGACUGGAUUACUUUAGUUACACCCACUUGUCCAUCUAUCCAUCCAUCCAUCUGUAUAUCUAUAUACAUACACAAGUACACAUGUGCACAAAUAUAGGCUAAUAAUAAAUACACAUCAUAUCUACAGAUUCAUCGAUAUAAAUUAAGUAUGUUUAUAUAUGGUCAGGCAGAAGGGAUACAUUCACUCUCGACUUUUCCCUCUCCCUGUUGCCUGCAGCAACCCUUCCCUGGCUGGUUGGAAAUAUUACACACCCACUUUUUCUUUUAAAGAAUUAUUUAUUUAUUUUAUGUAUAUGAGUACACUGUCGCUGUCCUCAGACACCCCAGAAGAGGGCAUUGGAUCCCAUGACAGAUGGUUGUGAGCCAUCGUGUGGUUUCUGGGAAUUGAACUCAGGACCUCUGGAAGAGCAGUCAGUGCUGCUCUU